rnacentral:rRNA from 1 species
CCUACGGGGGGCAGCAGUGGGGAAUAUUGGGCAAUGGGCGCAAGCCUGACCCAGCAACGCCGCGUGAAGGAAGAAGGCUUUCGGGUUGUAAACUUCUUUUAAGGGGGAAGAGCAGAAGACGGUACCCCUUGAAUAAGCCACGGCUAACUACGUGCCAGCAGCCGCGGUAAUACGUAGGUGGCAAGCGUUGUCCGGAUUUACUGGGUGUAAAGGGGGUUCAGCCGGAGAGAAAAGUCAGAUGGAAAAUCCACGGGCUCAACCCGUGAACUGCAUUUGAAACUGUUUCCCUUGAGUGUCGGAGAGGUAAUCGGAAUUCCUAGUGUAGCGGUGAAAUGCGUAGAUAUAAGGAAGAACACCAGUGGCGAAGGCGGAUUACUGGACGAUAACUGACGGUGAGGCGCGAAAGCGUGGGGAGCAAACAGGAUUAGAUACCCGGGUAGUC